UCUCCGUAGGUGAACCUGCGGAGGGAUCAUUACAGAGUUCAUGCCCUACCGGGUAGAUCUCCCACCCUAUGUUAUUAUUACUUUGUUGCUUUGGCGGGCCGUUAGGCUCCGGCCCGACUACCGGCCCCGGCUGGUAAGCGCCCGCCAGAGGACCCAAAACCCUGAAUAUUAGUGUCUUCUGAGUACUAUAUAAUAGUUAAAACUUUCAACAACGGAUCUCUUGGUUCUG
rnacentral:misc_RNA from 1 species